GUCGAUGGAUCUUAUAAAGACAACAUGGCGCAGACUGCACCGGUAGUCAGAGCGUGAAGCUGUCCGAGGGCUGAAGAUGUUACGGCCGAACAAAGUGAAGUUGUUCGGGUCACACUGAACUGCUGUGGUCAUGGUGAGCUGUGUUAAUGACCUGCUAACGUUAGCAGCUGUGGCUAACGGCUAACGUUAGCAACGUUAGCAGCUGUGGCUAACAGGUAACGUUAGCAGCUGUGGCUAAUGGCUAACGGCUAACGUUAACGUUUGUCACUGCGGACUGAGCACCGAACUACCGAGCACCGAACUACCGGGCCCGACGGAGCCGUUAACGGACCGCCCCUGUGACGUCCCCAGGAUGGAGCUGUGAUGUCGUCCGUGAGGCUCCAAUGUGGCGAAACAUGUGGAAGCAGCUGCAGCGCCACCUCCUGGACAACCUGAGUACUGCACCCAGAACACCACGGUCGCCUCUUCCUGUUCAGAGCCUCAGAGAAACCAGCAGGUGUUUGACUGUCACAGACACGUCAGCGCUCUUUGCUCCAACGUUUGACUGAAGGAAAAAAACAACUUCUUCAAUUCUAACAUUGUUUUAAUAAAAAGAAAACGUUGAUUCA